CCUACGGGAGGCAGCAGUGGGGAAUAUUGGACAAUGGGGGGAACCCUGAUCCAGCCAUGCCGCGUGUGUGAAGAAGGCCCUCGGGUAGUAAAGCACUUUCAGUGAGGAAGAACGCCUGGUGGUUAAUACCCAUCAGGAAAGACAUCACUCACAGAAGAAGCACCGGCUAACUCCGUGCCAGCAGCCGCGGUAAUACGGAGGGUGCGAGCGUUAAUCGGAAUUACUGGGCGUAAAGCGCGCGUAGGUGGCUUGAUAAGCCGGUUGUGAAAGCCCCGGGCUCAACCUGGGAACGGCAUCCGGAACUGUCAAGCUAGAGUGCAGGAGAGGAAGGUAGAAUUCCCGGUGUAGCGGUGAAAUGCGUAGAGAUCGGGAGGAAUACCAGUGGCGAAGGCGGCCUUCUGGACUGACACUGACACUGAGGUGCGAAAGCGUGGGUAGCAAACAGGAUUAGAUACCCUUGUAGUC
rnacentral:rRNA from 1 species